AACGAACGCUGGCGGCAGGCUUAACACAUGCAAGUCGAGCGAGACCUUCGGGUCUAGCGGCGGACGGGUGAGUAACGCGUGGGAACGUGCCCUUCUCUACGGAAUAGCCCCGGGAAACUGGGAGUAAUACCGUAUACGCCCUUUGGGGGAAAGAUUUAUCGGAGAAGGAUCGACCCGCGUUGGAUUAGGUAGUUGGUGGGGUAAUGGCCCACCAAGCCGACGAUCCAUAGCUGGUUUGAGAGGAUGAUCAGCCACACUGGGACUGAGACACGGCCCAGACUCCUACGGGAGGCAGCAGUGGGGAAUCUUAGACAAUGGGGGCAACCCUGAUCUAGCCAUGCCGCGUGAGUGAUGAAGGCCUUAGGGUUGUAAAGCUCUUUCAGCUGGGAAGAUAAUGACGGUACCAGCAGAAGAAGCCCCGGCUAACUCCGUG
rnacentral:rRNA from 1 species